rnacentral:rRNA from 1 species
UACGGAGGGAGCUAGCGUUGUUCGGAAUUACUGGGCGUAAAGCGCACGUAGGCGGCUUUGUAAGUUAGAGGUGAAAUCCCGGGGCUCAACCCCGGAAUUGCCUUUAAGACUGCAUCGCUUGAAUCCAGGAGAGGUGAGUGGAAUUCCGAGUGUAGAGGUGAAAUUCGUAGAUAUUCGGAAGAACACCAGUGGCGAAGGCGACUUACUGGACCCAUAUUGACGCUGAGGUGCGAAAGCGUGGGGAGCAAACAGG